GACAGAGGGUGCAAACGUUGUUCGGAAUUACUGGGCGUAAAGCGCGUGUAGGCGGCCCUGCAAGUCGGAUGUGAAAUCCCGAGGCUCAACCUCGGGUCUGCAGUCGAUACGGGCGGACUGGAGUUCGGCAGGGGAGACUGGAAUUCCUGGUGUAGCGGUGAAAUGCGCAGAUAUCAGGAGGAACACCGGUGGCGAAGGCGGGUCUCUGGGCCGAUACUGACGCUGAGGAGCGAAAGCGUGGGGAGCGAACAGG
rnacentral:rRNA from 1 species